CACUGAUACAGCCUGAGAUCCACAAACACAGAGACCUAAUCCAAGGUUCAGGGCUGGAGACCACAAGGAAUUGUGUUUUUCGUGAUAGUAACCCUUCUAUUUCCUUCUAUUUAUUAUUGUUGUUGAUUAUUAUUGAAGAGUAACAUUUAUGCUCACUAGAGAGGAGAGUUAAUUGUUGAACCAGCUGUCUAGUUAGUACUAGGAUAUAGACAAUAGGCAAGGAUCUUCACCUCUCUUGGACCUUGCAGAGGAGUGGAGAGAUCGGUGAGAGAUGUGCGAGCCUCCGCUGGAACUCUUGCGGCGCUGGUAGGUCUGCUGUUGUGGGAGGUGCACCUGGACAUGUCCUGAAUCAAUGGAGGUCCCAAAGCUCAUGGAUCUCAAGGUGCACCUUCAGAAUGGAUCUGUGGAAGAAGAGAGCCAGUAACUGGAUCAGGUCGUAGUGGACGUAGCCAUCCUUCUUCUCCACACCGAUGAUGUUGGGAGGGUGAUAUGGUUUAUUCUUAUCUAUCUUGUUCUGGUUGAAGGGGAAGAAGCCAAACUGAAAGAAGUACUUGACGACGAUUGUGACCUAGAGGGAAAAUGAAAGUAAUGUCGGUGAAGCUGUCGGGACUAUGUCAAAGUUUUCCAAUGAAUCAUAAGAGAGACUGCUGUAUAAAAAAUAAUAAGUGAACUCUGAUCUUACUCUUAGACUUUAUGCAUUUGUCUCUCUCCUGUCCAGCCUAAUGCAACUAAUUAAUGUUUAUACUCCUACCUUAUAGGUGUUAUUCAUUCAUGUUAGUCAAAAAGUGUUAAAAAUAUAACAAAUGCUUUCAAUGUUUGUCUUAACUUUCUGCCAAUCAUUGUGGACAGCAGAAACAAUUUAGUCCAGAUCUGUACGAGAGCCUUGUUGUUUUUGAAAAGUUGUUGUUUUGGAAAUUACAUCUUUGUAUCCGACUCUACCUCAGUAUAGACGAUGGCAGUCAUCCAGUAGCGCUUGCUGGGCCGGGGCACUGACAGCAUGGCCCAGAGGAAGAUGGUGAUGGGAAGGACCAGGGUGGCGCAGGAGGCCGACACCAUGUGGUUGAUGAUGAUGACCAGGACUGGCAAACAUUCCUACACACUCCCUAUAACAUUUCACGAUGGGGACUCAUCUGGUAUCCAGUUUUGCCUUGCUGAGGCUCUGUGUACCUGGAUAUGCUGUCUCUGGAUGCUGUGGAGUCCUGGCUCUCCAUGCGGUAGCCUCCUCUCCUUCUUCGAACCCUGUUGGAGCCCGAGGCGGAUUCGUCCUCACUUAGCUGAUCCAUACUGGCCUGCCUGGACAUGUUGAGCCUCAUGGCCUUCUGGUAGUAGACGUGGAUGCUCUCUCUGGACGGCACAUUGCCCUGGUAAGAGGAGAGAAGUUAACCAUGUACUGGUUCUCUUAAUCACACUAAUAUCCUUGAAUUAGCUUAUGAAUUAUUUUAAACAAGGCAAAUUCAAAUUUAAAAACUGCUUUUAAAACCAAGAUAACUCUUCUUCUACAUGUCAAAAGUCGAUGCGGAGGUUCUUGGUACCUUUUUGACCUCUCGGGUCAGCAUGCAGCGCUCUAUACGCAGCACAGUGGAGAUGUCGAUGUACUCCCUGCACAUGUCGUUCAUCCACUUGGUAAAGCUGUCCACUGUAGUCUGGAAAAGCACCCAGGUGAACUUUAUGAUGUUGAACACUCGCUUUAUGAUGUUAUCUGAGGGAGAGCAAAUGACACAAAUGUAAACUGAAGAACUCGCAAAUUAGAGGCUCCAAAUAGCAGUGCGAAAAAGCAGAUUUUUUUAUGUAUGAUAUGAAGAAAUUAUGCAAACUGUCAUUACUGAACUUCACAGAGCACACUGAUAAUUUCUCUCAUGAUCUGUCAUCAGAAGGAAAGACAACCAAGGAUGUUAGGAAUGUGGUUUUGUGUUCAUGUUUUUCCUGUUUUAGUCUGUUUUAUGGUUUGGGGUUCUGUGUUUCUUCGGUCCUGUAGGCGCGGUGGUGUGAACAGUGGGUAAGACACACGCCUUAGGUGUGAGAGACCCGGGUUCAAUUCCCAUCUGUGACACCGUGUCCACCAACGUGUCCCUGAGCAAGACACUUAACCCCUCGUUGCUCCAGAGGUGUGCGACCUCUGACCUAAAUAGCAAUUGUAAGUCGCUUUGGAUAAAAGCGUCAGAUAAAUGUAAUGUAAAUACCUUGUUAUUCUCAUGUUCAGUUUAGUUCCCUUUACCAGUUCUGUCUCAUUUCCUGUUUUCUUAUCUUAGUUCUUAGUCUUGCGUUUUAGUUUUGUGCCUUAGUUCAUGUUUUAGUGUUUACCCCUGUCUGUGUACCCUGUCUGUACUGUCUGUUUUGUUUUCUGUGGCCUGUACUAUGAAAGGAGUAUUCAAACCUACUCAGAGUUAACCCAGGGUUAUCAGACGUUGUUGUUACGCUGGUGUUAAACGGUAACACAACGGUGAACAAGAUGUUGUUUGGUCUGUGUUAACCCGCUGCUAACUUGGAGUUGGUGCGCGUUCACAUUAAAGGGGCGUGUUCGGCCGUGCAGGCAGAGUUUUUUCUCAACGGCGCAUGCUCCGUAUUUCUCCAGAAGAAUGCACGUUGAUUGUGUCAGGAUAUGAUGAAUGUAAAUACAUGUUAAUGGAAAAAUCUAAUACUGUGGUGGCCGACAAAGCCAGGGAGGCUUGUUGGCAUCGCAUGGAGUAAAUGUGUAGCCUAAUUAUC